UACGUAGGGUGCAAGCGUUGUCCGGAAUUAUUGGGCGUAAAGAGCUCGUAGGCGGUUUGUCGCGUCUGCUGUGAAAACCCGAGGCUCAACCUCGGGCCUGCAGUGGGUACGGGCAGACUAGAGUGCGGUAGGGGAGAUUGGAAUUCCUGGUGUAGCGGUGGAAUGCGCAGAUAUCAGGAGGAACACCAAUGGCGAAGGCAGCUCGCUGGGACGGUACUGACGCUAAGGCGCGAAAGCGUGGGGA
rnacentral:rRNA from 1 species